rnacentral:rRNA from 1 species
UACAGAGGUCUCAAGCGUUGUUCGGAUUCAUUGGGCGUAAAGGGUGCGUAGGUGGCGGGGUAAGUCUGGUGUGAGAUCUCGGGGCUCAACCCCGAAACUGCACUGGAUACUGCCUUGCUCGAGUACUGGAGAGGAGAUUGGAAUUUACGGUGUAGCAGUGAAAUGCGUAGAUAUCGUAAGGAAGACCAGUGGCGAAGGCGAAUCUCUGGACAGUUACUGACACUGAGGCACGAAGGCCAGGGGAGCAAACGGG